CGAGUACGAGAUGCUACGGCAUCGAAGCAGUCUAUGUCAUACUUCCAAGAAAAGCUUGCACUGUCAUAAACAAAGAAUGCCUGUACCAUAACCGACACAGGUGGGUAGGUAGAGUAUACUAAGGGGCGCGAGAUAACUCUCUCUAAGGAACUCGGCAAAAUGACUCCGUAACUUCGGGAGAAGGAGUGCCUUAUUUUCUAAGGUUGCAAUAACAAGAUCCAAGCAACUGUUUACCAAAAACACAGGUCUCCGCUAAGUCGUAAGACGAUGUAUGGGGGCUGACGCCUGCCCAGUGCCAGAAGGUUAAAGAAGUUGGUUAGCAUUAGCGAAGCUGAUAACUGAAGCCCUGGUGAACGGCGGCCGUAACGAUAACGGUCCUAAGGUAGCGAAAUUCCUUGUCGGGUAAGUUCCGACCCGCACGAAAGGCGUAAUGAUUUGGAUACUGUCUCGGAGAGGGGCUCGGUGAAAUAGACUUGUCUGUGAAGAUGCGGACUACCUGCACCUGGACAGAAAGACCCUAUGAAGCUUUACUGUAACUUGAGAUUGAAAUUGGACUUUAUUUGCGCAGUAUAGGUGGGAGGCGUUGAGAAUAAUCUUGCGGGAUUGUUGGAGCCAUCAGUGAGAUACCACUCUUGUAAUGUUAGAUUUCUAACUUUGUAUCAUUAUCUGGUCAAAGAACAGUUUCAGGCGGGCAGUUUGACUGGGGCGGUCGCCUCCCAAAGGGUAACGGAGGCGCACAAAGGUUUCCUCUGAACGGGUAGAAAUCGUAUCUAGAGUGUAAAGGCAUAAGGAAGCUUGACUGUGAGACCUACAAGUCGAGCAUGGACGAAAGUCGGUCUUAGUGAUCUGACGGUGCUGAGUGGAAAGGCCGUCACUCAACGGAUAAAAGUUACUCUAAGGAUAACAGGCUGAUCUCCCCCAAGAGUUCACAUCGACGGGGAGGUUUGGCACCUCGAUGUCGGCUCAUCGCAUCCUGGGGCGGUAGUCCGUCCCAAGGGUUGGGCUGUUCGCCCAUGAAAGCGGUACGCGAGCUGGGUUCAGAACGUCGUGAGACAGUUCGGUCCAUAUCCGGUGUAGGCGUUAGAAUAUUGAGAGGAGCCUUCUCUAGUACGAGAGGACCGAGAAGGACAUACCUCUGGUGUACCAGUUAUCGUGCCAACGGUAAACGCUGGGUAGCUAUGUAUGGAGUGGAUAACCGCUGAAAGCAUCUAAGUGGGAAGCCCACCUCAAGAUAAGUAUUCUCACC
rnacentral:rRNA from 1 species